rnacentral:rRNA from 1 species
AUUGAACGCUAGCGGGAUGCUCUACACAUGCAAGUCGAACGGCAGCGCGGACUUCGGUCUGGCGGCGAGUGGCGAACGGGUGAGUAAUGUAUCGGAACGUGCCCAGUAGCGGGGGAUAACUACACGAAAGCGUAGCUAAUACCGCAUACGCCCUACGGGGGAAAGCAGGGGAUCGUAAGACCUUGCACUAUUGGAGCGGCCGAUAUCGGAUUAGCUAGUUGGUGAGGUAACGGCUCACCAAGGCGACGAUCCGUAGCUGGUUUGAGAGGAUGACCAGCCACACUGGGACUGAGACACGGCCCAGACUCCUACGGGAGGCAGCAGUGGGGAAUGUUGGACAAUGGGGGCAACCCUGAUCCAGCCAUCCCGCGUGUGCGAUGAAGGCCUUCGGGUUGUAAAGCACUUUUGGCAGGAAAGAAACGUCGCGGGCUAAUACCCCGUGGAACUGACGGUACCUGCAGAAUAAGCACCGGCUAACUACGUG